AUUUAUUUAGUAUAAAAAGUACAUUUAAUUUCCAAUUAAAAAGUCUAAAUUUUUUAUAGAAUAAAUA
rnacentral:tRNA from 1 species